GAAAUGCGAUAAGUAAUGUGAAUUGCAGAAUUCAGUGAAUCAUCGAAUCUUUGAACGCACCUUGCGCUCCUUGGUAUUCCGAGGAGCAUGCCUGUUUGAGUGUCAUGGAAUUCUCAACUCUAUUUGCUUUUGUGAAUAGAGCUUGGAUUUGGAGGUUUAUUGCUGGUACUUGUGAUCGGCUCCUCUUGAAUGCAUUAGCUCGAACCUUUGCGGAUCAGCUAUCGGUGUGAUAAUUGUCUACGCCGUUGCAGUGAAGCAUAUCAAUGGGCUCGGCUUCCAAUCGUCCUUUACUGGACAAUGACUUUGACCUUUGACCUCAAAUCAGGUAGGAUUACCCGCUGAACUGAAGC
rnacentral:misc_RNA from 1 species